UGUGAGGGUGAUCUGCUUUCAGAAUUUCUGUCUCUGUGCUGGCCAGGAUUGAUGCGACUGAGCUGGCUGGCUGGGCAGGUGGCCCCUUCCUUCCUCACCUGAAGCUUUGUACCUAGUCAAAGCAAGCAAGUUCCUUCUCAAGAAGAGAAGGACCAUCCGCCGGACUUGGGUGUGUGGGAAAGUGUGCUCCUCUGCGAGUCCUUCCAAAUGACCCCUCAAGGGCCCAGGGGAAGCUUGUGGGGUGUUGCUGAGGGUUCGAUGACAUCAGGGGUAUAAAACACUUUGUAAACUC
rnacentral:snRNA from 1 species